GGAUGUGAGGGCGAUCUGGCUGCGACAUCUGUCACCCCAUUGAUCGCCAGGAUUGAUUUGGCUGAUCUGGCUGGCUAGGCAAGUGUCCCCUUCCUCCCUCACCGCUCCAUGUGCAUCCCUCCUGAAGCUGAGCUCUCGGUCGAAGAGGAUGACCAUCCCUGCUAGAGGAGGACCAGUCUUUGGUCAAGGAUGUACGAGUAGCUGCGCUCCCCUGCUAGAACCUCCAAACAAGUUCUCACUAAUGCUGCUUGGGAUGCCUGCAGCCCAGAUCAGUUGUGCCCAGAUCAGCUAUGGCUCUGCCAUCCAUU
ensembl:misc_RNA 7SK 7SK RNA